CACACACACAGCACAGAUUUUUUUGAUUAUGUAGAUUUCUUUUCCUACUGCAGUUUCAUAUGCAAAGCAUGCAUCAGCCACAUCCAUGCUAUCUCCUAAAGCAGUCAUUCUGAAACCCAAUCUGGGGACAGUGCAGACUAAAUAAAAUUUCAUUUUGAUUUGGCCUCCCGCUGCGAAUGGGACUGCUUUGUCUCAGCCGACAGAACCAGCAAGCCAGAAAGAUUGAAGAACAAAAUGAAAGUUAGUUAAAGAAGACGUUGAAGAAACAAUAGUGUGAAAACAGCACGAAAUGUCAUUUGGUAAAUAUGCCACAGCCUCACAUAAGGAAGAGGAAAAUGGCAGUGUGGGCCAUGAUUGGCAGGUCUGGAUCCAUAGACUGAUUUCCAGGAUCACCCAACAGGAAUGAAGACAUUUGGAGAAGAAGCGUUUACUGAAAGGAGAUUCCUGGGCUGGAGGAAAACCAUGAUCUACAGUUCAUGUUGACAGAUAUUGUAUUUUUGGUCCUAGAUCUGACUUUUGAAAUGACUUAUCACAAAUUCAAAUUUAGCAAUCAUGAGUGAAGUACCCACGACGUGCUAAGCAUCUACCUCUGCAGAUAGAAGAACACUUACCGUUCCUGAGCAUGGGAGGGAACUUCUGUUCCUGGGUCCUGGCCUCACCUCAUCAGGCACUGCCAAAUUUGACACCUCCUUCCUGUUCACGGCAGUCCUUUGGGAUGGGGUAUUAGAUGCCACCAAAUAGCUGCAUAACUCACCCACUUUGUCAGAGCCUGGGUCUAAGCCAGGUCUGACAGACUCCAAAGCAAGCCCUGUUUACAGCAUGACUGGGAUCCAGUGGGUAAGACCAACCUGUCAAUGCCCAAGUGCAGAUGCAAUAAUAGUGCUUCAACUGAUUGUUGCAAACUCCUCAUGAAGGAUGCCAAAUCCCAGUGCAGAUGGUAACACAGGCUACUUUUCACCUCCAACCUCUAAUAUCCUUUCUUUCUUUCUUUCCUUUUUUUUUUUUUUUUUUUUUUUUUUGAGAUAGAGUCUCCUCUAUCACCCAGGCUGGAGUGCAACAGCGCGAUCCCAGCUCACUGCAACCUCCACCUCCUGGGUUCAAGCAAUUCUCUCGCCUCAGCCUCCCGAGUAGCUGGGAUUACAGGCACCCGCCAUCAUGUCCAGCUAAUUUUUGUAUAUUUGUAGAGACGGGGUUUCACCAUGUUGGCCAGGCUGGUCUUGAACUCCUGACCUCAGGUGAUCUGCCCGCCUCAGCCUCCCAAAGUGCUAGGAUUACAAGUGUGAGCCACCACGCCCGGCCCCAAUAUUCUUUCUUACUAGACACUGUGUAAGCUAAUUAUUCAGCAAGUAUUUUGCACUGAACUCUAAAUAGGUAAGUAUUUUGUGUCCAUUUUACAGACAAGAGAAAUAAAAUAGAUAAAGUAUUUCCCCAAAGCUAUGAUAAAUGAAUCCCAUAGCUAGAAAUGGCAGAAAACCCAUGGAAACUUCUAUGGGGAGUGGAUGUCUGCCUUACCUUGGCACAAUGCUUGGUUCUCAGAUAUCAUUUCAGUGACAUUGCCAAAUGGGAGAAACCAUGUCUGGUACAUGGGACUCAAGCUGCCUCAAAAUAUCCUGAAUGCAUUUUUUCAGGGGAGAAAAUCCAUUUGAAUAAGAAUAGCUAGUUAUAGCUUAUUAUGUGCCAGACACUAUUCAAAGUGUUUAAUGUGUAUUAACUUCUCAAAACCACUCUAUAAGUUAGGUACUAUGAUUUCCAUCUCCAUUUUACAGAUGAGGGAACUGAGCUGUCAAAACUAAGUGACUUGAUUGAGGCCAUGCAGCUGGCGAGGGGAGGACCAGGAUCUGAACCCAACUGGGUCUCCCAAGCCUGGGCCACUGAACCAUUUCACCUCUUGGAAAAACUUAAUGGUCAGAGUGGCCCACCCAGUCCAUGGACAGCAUGGAGCAGUAUGGUGGAAGAGGAAGGAAGAAAACCUGUGUAUUGUAAGUCAUAUUCUUCUAUGGCGUGAAGGUUAACGUAAGUUUUAAGAAAGUUUUUUUUUAAAUUUUAUUUUAUGAUCUUGCUCUAAAGGGAUGUAAAUUCAGAUGCUGAAUUGCACACAUUCUUUCUCUUUCAUAUUUUCAAUAUUGAACGUAAUUUCAAUAUUUAACAUAAAACAACGAGUACAUUGUCUCCACCUCAUUGUUUUUGGGUGGUGUUUGUGGGGAGCCUGCGUUCUUUGGAAGGAAGACCUUUCAGAUGACCUGACCAGUCCUCCUCUUCAGAACCCGGAUGCUGGCGAAGCAGUUUGAAUUUUAUGCUUGUGAAAGGGCUCCGUUGAUGAUUUUGAUGUCUGCAGCUUUCCACCCGUAUGACCAGACACAUUCUCACCAGCUCCAUAUAUCAAGAUAAGGAGGGGAAACCUGGUAGCUUUUCCUUCUGUUAACUGCUGGCAUCAGCUGAGUGAUGCAGACAUUUCUCUAUUAAGAACUGAGCUGAGACUGAAGCUUCAUUUUGUAUGAGACUCUGCAGAGGUCAUCUAAAGUCUCUCCCAGACUACUCCCAACACAGGCCACCUGUCUUGAAGAUGUGUAUCUAUAGUCAGAGGGAGGAGCCAUGUGCAAGCGUUUGGCUGGAUCACUACAAAUCUAUCAUGACUCUGGGAAAUCAACCGCUGUAUGAGAUCCCGGCGAUUGAUGAAGGAACUCGCCUUCACUUAAAAGGGACAGCAAGCAUAAUUCUCAAUGCACACAUGGUCUCAAUGGAGUGGAUUUUCAUGGACUGACUCAAGGUAUACUGCUCUAAAUCCUACUGUAAGGCUUCCUCAUCAAGUUACCUACCUUCUAAUUGAGUCUCCUCAUCAGCUGAAAUGUUUACUCACAUGGAGUUAAUGACAGUGUCUGCAUUAGAGGAUUUGGUCAAGAUCAAAUUAGAUAUUGCAAUGGAGUGCUGAGGACAACAGCUGGCAUGCUUAAAAUGCUUGCUAAAUGUGUACAAGUGCACAAGUUCUGUUUUAUUAAUAAAA